GUGAUCGCUUUGGUAGCACAUGUACUAAAAUUGGAAAAAUACAGAGAGGAUUUUGCAUGACCCCUGUGGAAGAAUGACAUGCAAAUUCAAGAAGCAUUCCAUAUUUUU
rnacentral:snRNA from 1 species